UACGAAGGGGGCUAGCGUUGCUCGGAAUCACUGGGCGUAAAGCGCACGUAGGCGGACUCUUAAGUCAGGGGUGAAAUCCUGGAGCUCAACUCCAGAACUGCCCUUGAUACUGGGAGCCUUGAGUUCGGGAGAGGUGAGUGGAACUGCGAGUGUAGAGGUGAAAUUCGCAGAUAUUCGCAAGAACACCAGUGGCGAAGGCGGCUCACUGGCCCGAUACUGACGCUGAGGUGCGAAAGCGUGGGGAGCAAACAGG
rnacentral:rRNA from 1 species